AUGAACGCUGGCGGCGUGCCUAAUCCAUGCAAGUCGAGCGAACAGACGAGGAGCUUGCUCCUCUGACGUUAGCGGCGGACGGGUGAGUAACACGUGGAUAACCUACCUAUAAGACUGGGAUAACUUCGGGAAACCGGAGCUAAUACCGGAUAAUAUAUUGAACCGCAUGGUUCAAUAGUGAAAGACGGUUUUGCUGUCACUUAUAGAUGGAUCCGCGCCGCAUUAGCUAGUUGGUAAGGUAACGGCUUACCAAGGCAACGAUGCGUAGCCGACCUGAGAGGGUGAUCGGCCACACUGGAACUGAGACGCGGUCCAGACUCCUACGGGAGGCAGCAGUAGGGAAUCUUCCGCAAUGGGCGAAAGCCUGACGGAGCAACGCCGCGUGAGUGAUGAAGGUCUUCGGAUCGUAAAACUCUGUUAUUAGGGAAGAACAAAUGUGUAAGUAACUAUGCACGUCUUGACGGUACCUAAUCAGAAAGCCACGGCUAACUACGUG
rnacentral:rRNA from 1 species